CGAGAACGGCCCAAGCUGCGAAAGGACAUGUAUAAGAAAAUGCUGGCCGUGGACCCCGAGGCACCUACUGAGGAGGAGCAUGCGCAGCGUGCCGUCACAAAACCUCGAUACAUGCAAUGGCGCGAAGGCAUCAGCUCCAGCACUACACUCGGCUUCCGCAUCGAGGGCAUCAAGAAAGCCGAUGGAUCUUGCAGUACUGAUUUCAAAACUACACGAAGCAGAGAGCAAGUGACUCGAGUCUUUGAGGAGUUCAUGCAAGGAGAUGCUGAAGUGCUGGUGAGAGGAGGCCUCUAGAGCCUUGAGGGUUGGGUGCUCUUGUUUACAAGGGUGCCUCUUGGCGAGUGUCCUUACCUGUGCUGUGCCCAGUGGUAGCACUUCCCUUGUGGUACUGUCAUUGUUUUUCCUCCUCUCCUAUGUGAGCCACAUGGUGUCUGUGUCUUCCCCACGACAGUGUUUGUUAGGCAAGUCGAAAUAAAUGCAUGGUGCUUCCCAGAGUCAGCA
rnacentral:lncRNA from 1 species